CACGUAGGGCGCAAGCGUUGUCCGGAAUUAUUGGGCGUAAAGAGCUCGUAGGCGGUCUGUUGCGUCCGCUGUGAAAACUCGGGGGCUUAACCCCCGAGCCUGCAGUGGAUACGGGGCAGACUAGAGGUAGGUAGGGGGAGAAUGGAAUUCCCGGUGUAGCGGUGAAAUGCGCAGAUAUCGGGAGGAACACCGGUGGCGAAGGCGGUUCUCUGG
rnacentral:rRNA from 1 species